AACAAACGCUGGCGGCGUGCCUAAUACAUGCAAGUCGAACGGGGAAAGCUUUCGGGUGAGUACUAGUGGCGCACGGGUGAGUAACGCGUGGAUAAUCUGCCUUAGAGUGGGGGAUAACUAGUCGAAAGAUUAGCUAAUACCGCAUAAGACCACAAGAACUGCGGUUCAAGGGGUCAAAGGUUUUUCCCUCUAAGAUGAGUCCGCGUAAGAUUAGCUAGUUGGUAGGGUAACGGCCUACCAAGGCGACGAUCUUUAACUGGUCUGAGAGGAUGAUCAGUCACAAUGGAACUGAGACACGGUCCAGAAUCCUACGGGAGGCAGCAGUAGGGAAUAGUGCACAAUGGAGGAAACUCUGAUGCAGCGACGCCGCGUGAGGGAUGAAGGCCUUCGGGUCGUAAAGCUCUGUCGCAGGGGAAUAACACAAUGAAGGUACCCUGUAAGAAAGGAUCGGCUAACUUCGUGCCAGCCGCCGCCGUAAAAC
rnacentral:rRNA from 1 species